CCGCCCCGCCAAGGGUGGGGGCGACGGCCGGGCUCCGCGCGCUGCCCGGCGCUGUCCGAGGUGCUGGACGCCGGCGGGGCGCGCUCCACGCCGCCGGCUCUGUGCGCAGCUUCCAGAAGGCCCUGCGCGCCCCGUCCCUCAGCGCACCUGCUCCAGGUGCCCAGGACUCAAAGCACGCGGCACCGUAUCUGCAAGGUGAGCGCGCCCGCGCCCCGGCUUCGCGGAGGCCUGCCCCCCAUGUCUAGGUGAAAACAAGCACGCGUGGGGAAACAAUGAACGACUGUUCAACUGAAGGAAACAAUGCGUGCUUUUGGAUACAUGCAUGCGAAUACACCCGUGAAGUUCAUGACCUAUCACUACCCUCUACACCUGUACUUUGUACCGCAAGGCAGGACGGGAUUGGGGAAGCUGAGCCAACUCCGGAGUCAGACUGCAUGGACUGAAAUCCCAACCCAACCACUUGCCAGCCGUGAGUC